UACGUAGGGGGCUAGCGUUGUCCGGAAUCAUUGGGCGUAAAGCGCGCGUAGGUGGCCCGGUAAGUCCGCUCUGAAAGUCACAGGCUCAACCUGUGAAAGCGGGUGGAUACUGCCGGGCUAGAGUCCGGAAGAGGCGAGUGGAAUUCCUGGUGUAGCGGUGAAAUGCGCAGACAUCAGGAAGAACACCAAUGGCGAAGGCAGCUCUCUGGGACGGUACUGACGCUGAGACGCGAAAGCGUGGGGAGCAAACAGGG
rnacentral:rRNA from 1 species